AGAGCCCUCCAGGCUCCUAAGGGCGAAGCCGACACCUCAUCCCUUUGGAACUUGAAGUUCUCAGUCCAAGACCUCCGUGGAGAGUGAAAGACUCAAUGCCUCCUGACCGAGGCUUCAGGCCUGCCCCGGCAGCUAGGAAACCUGAAACUGCCAUUGAGCAGAAGGAAAACAUCCCUUUCCAGAACCUUUCUCGUUUUUCUAAAAAUCUGCACUUUUGGAAGUGAUCCCCCAAAGAGACCUCCAGACUCUACCAUGAGUGUCUCCAGCUGAACUCAUCGUGUCUAAUCCUCACCCUAGCUUAUCCUGUUCAAAUCAUUUCCAUCUUUUUCUGGAUGAACCUGGGCGGAUGUCAGACCAGAGAAGAGCACAGAAUGUACCAGAGAGAUGCGGUGAUGGGAGCCAUAUACACAAAGAUGAAGGACUGGCUACAGCUUUCACAGACCUUACAACCUACUGAGAGAGCAAAGACACAGUGAAGAGAUCAUUCAGAAUACAGUCCAACUCCAAGAUCAUUGGGAGAGCUUAUUUGAAGACCAGAAAGGUUACUGAACAUGGUGACUCUCUUCAAAGCCAGACCUUUGUCCUUGAAUUUAGGGCUUCAAAAAACAAUAGUAGGGCCGGGCGCAGUGGCUCAUGCCUGUAAUCCCAACACUUUGGGAGGCCAAGGUGGGCAGAUCACCUGAGGUCAGGAGUUCGAGACCGGCCUGGCCAAUAUGGUGAAACCCUGUCUCUACCAAAAAUACAAAAAAAAAAAAAAAUUACCUGGGCUUGGUGGGGGGUGCCUGUAAUCCCAGGUACUCAGGAGGCUGAGACAGGAGAAUUGCUUGAACCCGAGAGGCAGAGGCGGCAGUGAGCCGAGAACGCGCCAUUGCACUCUAGCCCGGGCGACAAGAGUGAAACUCCAUCUCAAAAACAAAAACAAAAAGAAAAACAAACAAACAAACAAACAAAAAAACAGUAGAAAACCUAAUGAGAAACCAUGGCACAGGAAAACAGAAUAGCAGAACGGUCAGAGGAAGCAUAGCACUAGAAGUUUACCUAUUUGAAAGAUUUAUGAGACACUUAAGACAGAAGAGCUCUGCCUGUCUGGUUAAAAUGGUGGGACAGACAAGAUUUAUUUGAGCUCAGCAGCACUUGAAGUCCACUGGAGAGGUGUAGAGCAGCUAGCCCAUGUUAUGGUUGCAAUGGAAAAAAGUCAAUAGGGUGAGAAUCAAGAAUGGAUCCAUCUUGUGGAUGAUGACAUCAUUCAGCAACAAGGUACAAUUGCUACAAUAGAGGAUCAUAUUUCCAAGCCAGGUCCAAAGAGGCAUCAGGGCUGUCAAGCUUAGGUAUAAAUGUUGACAGAAUCUUCCUUUGGAUUACCUAAGGCUCUGAAUUUCUGGGAAGA
rnacentral:lncRNA from 1 species